rnacentral:tRNA from 1 species
GUUUUUGUAGUUGAUAUACAACGGUGGUUUUUCAGGCCGCAGGACUCUAUGAGAGCAGAAAUU